rnacentral:rRNA from 1 species
UACAGAGGGGGCAAGCGUUAUUCGGAAUUAUUGGGCGUAAAGGGCGCGUAGGCGGCUUGUCAAGUGGAAGGUGAAAUCCCUCGGCUUAACCGAGGAACUGCCCUCCAAACUGCUUCGCUUGAGACCGGGAGAGGUGAGUGGAAUUCCCAGUGUAGCGGUGAAAUGCGUAGAUAUUGGGAGGAACACCAGUGGCGAAGGCGGCUCACUGGACCGGUACUGACGCUGAUGCGCGAAAGCGUGGGGAGCAAACGGG